rnacentral:rRNA from 1 species
AUUGAACGCUGGCGGCAGGCUUAACACAUGCAAGUCGAGCGGAGACGAGGUGCUUGCACCUUAUCUUAGCGGCGGACGGGUGAGUAAUGCUUAGGAAUCUGCCCAUUAGUGGGGGACAACAUUCCGAAAGGAAUGCUAAUACCGCAUAUGCCCUACGGGGGAAAGCAGGGGAUCUUCGGACCUUGCGCUAAUAGAUGAGCCUAAGUCGGAUUAGCUAGUUGGUGGGGUAAAGGCCUACCAAGGCGACGAUCUGUAGCGGGUCUGAGAGGAUGAUCCGCCACACUGGGACUGAGACACGGCCCAGACUCCUACGGGAGGCAGCAGUGGGGAAUAUUGGGCAAUGGGCGGAAGCCUGAUCCAGCCAUGCCGCGUGUGUGAAGAAGGCCUUUUGGUUGUAAAGCACUUUAAGCGAGGAGGAGGCUACCUGGAUUAAUACUCUAGGAUAGUGGACGUUACUCGCAGAAUAAGCACCGGCUAACUCUGUGCCAGCCGCCGCCGUAAUAC